CAAUCAAUUAAUUAAUGAAACAUCAAACUUAAUUCAUAAUGGCAACAAGAGUUUGUUGUUUACAAUGAUCUAAAUCAGAUUUCUUUUUGUACCAUUUUGACUUUGUGUAGUGUUUCUUUUAAGAAUUAAAUAAAUUUGUUAAGAGAAAAGAAAUCGUAUCCACCUGUUAUCGCGGAUAACAGAUCAUAAUAGCUUUGAAACAAUGAUAAUGAAAGUUUUUUCAUCGUUCUAAAUUUAUGCUACAGUUAUGGUCGUAAAAGAUUAAGAAAAAUCUUAUAGGUGCAAUUAUUCCACUGACACCUGCGAAAUUAC